rnacentral:rRNA from 1 species
CCCAGACUCCUACGGGAGGCAGCAGUGGGGAAUAUUGCACAAUGGGGGAAACCCUGAUGCAGCAACGCCGCGUGGGUGAAGGAGCGUUUCGGCGCGUAAAGCCCUGUCAGCGGGGAAGAAGAAAGACGGUACCCGACCAAGAAGCCCCGGCUAACUACGUGCCAGCAGCCGCGGUAAUACGUAGGUGGCGAGCGUUGUCCGGAUUUACUGGGCGUAAAGGGAGCGUAGGCGGGCUUUUAAGUGAGAUGUGAAAUACUCGGGCUCAACUUGAGUGCUGCAUUUCAAACUGGAAGUCUAGAGUGCAGGAGAGGAGAAUGGAAUUCCUAGUGUAGCGGUGAAAUGCGUAGAGAUUAGGAAGAACACCAGUGGCGAAGGCGAUUCUCUGGACUGUAACUGACGCUGAGGCUCGAAAGCGUGGGGAGCAAACAGGAUUAGAUACCCCCGUGCAG